rfam:Schistosoma haematobium scaffold1803_1, whole genome shotgun sequence.
AUACAAUUGACGAGUCUCAAAACAGGAUGAAACGCACGUCCUGGAU